rnacentral:sRNA from 1 species
CUCUUUCACUCUUUCCUUCCCAGUCCCUCAACACCUUACACUAAGUCAAAGCGUGGCCACAGAGAAGAGGAGCAAGAAGACCUGACAAAGGACAUGGACGAGCCAUCACCAGUCCCCAAUGUAGAAGAGGUGACGCUUCCCAAAACAGUCAACACAAAGAAAGACUCAGAGUCGGCCCCAGUCAAAGGCGGCACCAUGACUGACCUGGAUGAACAGGAAGAUGAAAGCAUGGAGACGACGGGCAAGGUGGAGCCAGUUUAGAGAGGCCCUACCUCUCUAUGUGAUUCUGAUUUGUGAUUAUAAAGUUCAUUCUGCCCAAACUUUUCACUGCCCAGACUUUACCCACCGUAGACUAAUUCUAGCUUGGUUCAAAACUCUGACCCUUUCAGAGUCCUGGGGCCCAUGACUGCUCAGUCCCAUCACCCAUCUUUAGUGUCCACAUUCCUGGGGUGUGGGAGAAGCAGAGGGUUGCUAGGAAGGAAACAGGAAUGCUGAGUGUCCAGCAGCCUCCAUACUCGUAGGAUGAGGAUGAGAACAGUACGGGGAACAAGGGAGAGCAGACCAAGAAUCCAGACCUGCAUGAGGACAACGUGACUGAACAGACCCACCACAUCAUCAUUCCCAGCUACGCUGCCUGGUUUGACUACAAUAGCGUUCAUGCCAUUGAGCGGAGGGCUCUCCCCGAGUUCUUCAACGGCAAGAACAAGUCCAAGACUCCAGAGAUCUACCUGGCCUAUCGAAACUUUAUGAUUGACACUUACCGACUGAACCCCCAAGAGUAUCUUACCUCUACCGCCUGCCGCCGAAACCUAGCGGGUGAUGUCUGUGCCAUCAUGAGGGUCCAUGCCUUCCUAGAACAGUGGGGUCUUAUUAACUACCAGGUGGAUGCUGAGAGUCGACCAACCCCAAUGGGGCCUCCGCCUACCUCUCACUUCCAUGUCUUGGCUGACACACCAUCAGGGCUGGUGCCUCUGCAGCCCAAGACACCUCAGCAGACCUCUGCUUCCCAACAAAUGCUCAACUUUCCUGACAAAGGCAAAGAGAAACCAACAGACAUGCAAAACUUUGGGCUGCGCACAGACAUGUACACAAAAAAGAAUGUUCCCUCCAAGAGCAAAGCUGCAGCCAGUGCCACUCGUGAGUGGACAGAACAGGAAACCCUGCUUCUCCUGGAGGCACUGGAAAUGUACAAAGAUGACUGGAACAAAGUGUCCGAGCAUGUGGGAAGCCGCACAC